GAUGAAGAACGUAGCGAAAUGCGAUAAGUAAUGUGAAUUGCAGAAUUCAGUGAAUCAUCGAAUCUUUGAACGCACAUUGCGCCCGCCAGUAUUCUGGCGGGCAUGCCUGUUCGAGCGUCAUUACAACCCUCAGGCCCCCGGGCCUGGCGUUGGGGAUCGGCGGAAGCCCCCUGUGGGCACACGCCGUCCCUCAAAUACAGUGGCGGUCCCGCCGCAGCUUCCAUUGCGUAGUAGCUAACACCUCGCAACUGGAGAGCGGCGCGGCCAUGCCGUAAAACACCCAACUUCUGAAUGUUGACCUCGAAUCAGGUAGGAAUACCCGCUGAACUUAAGCAUAUCAAUAAGCGCAGGA
rnacentral:misc_RNA from 1 species